UAUGUUUACUGUACCAAACAGUGGAGAGGAAAUAAACAAAUAGCUUUGGUUGGUACAUAUGGUACUGGAGUGGUCGAGCCUAGCUACUCAUCGAACAAGUCGUCUUCCCCAGCCCUCAUUUCUCUCCCCUGCUGCUAUUCUCCCUCAAAACACCUAGACGCACCGCCGGCUCGAUCUACCUAUGUCGGCCAUCUCCGGCACCAUCGUCACUACCUACGGGAUCCCUUCGACCUCUCCUACUGAAUCCCUUCGCUUGCUGCCGUCGUGCAUCGAUCAAUGGCCGACAGAACGCACAGCCUUACCAGCCGUACGGCUCGACGACCAGGGUCGUGGCCGACGCAGAUGCAGCCCGAGGCUGGACCGACACUCCCGCUGCCGAGGCAGCACCAUGGCGAGUAUGGUACCAGCUACUACCUCCUACUGCUGACCAUCCUCUUCUACAACUAUAUUUUAGUGAAGAAGAUGAAGCAUGCUAGUCAUAUUUUCUGAAAUCAAUCUAUUCUGCUCCAUCACUACAUUUCAGAGCAGAGUAAAUGCUACAUGAAAAGGGGAAAAGCACAAGCGGGUGUUGUCCGUGCUAGUACCUCAUGAACCACCAGCACGGAUCAAUCAGUAAAGACCCAACACAAGAAUGCUAGAUGAAGAGGCCAGAUUCGGUGGAGAAGGGGUGGUCUGAGAGGGUUGUGCUUUGGUGUUGCGGUUAUGUUGAACAACGAAAGGGACUGCCUAUUUAUAGCAAGAGAAAUGGCAAGGUCGGUUCCGGGGAGGAGCUAGGUGGUCUGCAUGCGAGGCUUCCGUGUGCAUGCAGGCUUACAUUUGUACUCCUCCUAGCUGUCAUUUUUACAAGUGUUUGAGGUUUUGGCUGGCCGUGAGUUGGCUUUUACCUUGCUACUAAGCAAUUGUGAGCAGGGAUUAAACUGUAAUUUUCGAAAUUGUGCUAGGGCUGAAAAGUGAAUCCGAUGUAUAAGAACUUUGUAAGUAGAAUUGUUAUGAUUUUGAUGAUUGAAUUAUUUUUAAUCUAA